AACGAACGCUGGCGGCAUGCCUAACACAUGCAAGUCGAACGAGACCUUCGGGUCUAGUGGCGCACCGGUGCGUAACGCGGGGGAACCUGCCCUUAGGUUCGGAAUAACUCCCCUAAAGGGGUGCUAAUACCGGUUAAUGUCUUCGGACCAAAGAUUUAUAGCCUUUGGAUGGGCCCGCGUUGGAUUAGCUAGUUGGUAGGGUAAAAGCCUACCAAGGCGACGAUCCAUAGCUGGUCUGAGAGGAUGAUCAGCCACACUGGGACUGAGACACGGCCCAGACUCCGACGGGAGGCAGCAGUGGGGAAUAUUGGACAAUGAGCGAAAGCCUGAUCCAGCAAUGCCGCGUGAGUGAUGAAGGCCUUAGGGUUGUAAAGCUCUUUUACCCGGGAUGAUAAUGACAGUACCGGGAGAAUAAGCUCCGGCUAACUCCGUG
rnacentral:rRNA from 1 species